rnacentral:misc_RNA from 1 species
GAUGAAGAACGCAGCGAAACGCGAUAGUUAAUGUGAAUUGUAGAAUUCAGUGAAUCAUCGAGUCUUUGAACGCACAUUGCGCCCCCUGGUAUUCCGGGGGGCAUGCCUGUCCGAGCGUCAUUGCUGCCCAUCAAGCGCGGCUUGUGUGUUGGGCCGCCGUCCGCCUUCCCCCCCGGGGGGAGGGGGACGGGCCCGAAAGGCAGCGGCGGCACCGCGUCCGGUCCUCGAGCGUAUGGGGCUCUGUCACCCGCUCUGGAGGCCCGGCCGGCGCCCGCCGACCCCCAACCUUCUUCUAACCAGGUUGACCUCGGAUCAGGUAGGGAUACCCGCUGAACUUAAGCAUAUCAAUAAGCGGAGGA